rnacentral:rRNA from 1 species
AUGAGUAUCUUCUGCUGGAACUGUCGCGGAGCGGGCAAAUCUGUGAUAGUUCGGGAGCUUCGUGAUUUUGCGAGGAAAAUUGCCCCAUCGGUGCUCUGUAUGGUUGAAACCCAACUUUCAAAAUCUAGAGUUGAAAACUUAGCAUGCACUUUAGGGUUCGAUAAUGCAUAUGCAGUAAGUAGCUCGGGGAGGAGCGGCGGUUUAGGGAUGUUCUGGUAUAAUGAAAUAAACAUUGAUGUUUUCGGUUACUCUGAUUACCAUAUUGAUGCACACGUUACCCUUACCCUGCCUGAUACUGAACCUUGGCGCUUGACCUGCAUAUAA